rnacentral:rRNA from 1 species
UACGUAGGACCCAAGCGUUAUCCGGAAUUACUGGGCGUAAAGAGUUGCGUAGGUGGCACUGUAAGUGGAGCGUGAAAGCGUGCGGCUCAACCGCAUUACUGCGUUCCAAACUGCAGAGCUUGAGUAUGAGAGAGGUUAUUGGAAUUUCCAGCGUAGGAGUGAAAUCCGUAGAUAUUGGAAGGAACACCGAUGGCGUAGGCAGAUAACUGGCUCAUUACUGACACUAAGGCACGAAAGCGUGGGGAGCAAACGGG